AGCGUAUCUAAUUUAAGCAGGUGUUCUACAGGUCUGGGAAUGCCCUUCUGUGAUUUUCAUCAUUGAUUUAUUUGUUUUAUCAUCGAACACUGUGGCACUCAAAGUGAUAACUCAGUCAGCUAUGAGUAGAUGUAUAGCAGCCUGCUUCAGUGCUCAUGUGGUAAAGUUUUUGGUCACACAAAGGUGCUGGAGUUGGGAACUUUGAAAUCGUAGAUCAUUGUUGUUUUCAAAUUC